UACGAAGGGGGCUAGCGUUGUUCGGAAUCACUGGGCGUAAAGCGCACGUAGGCGGAUUUUUAAGUCAGGGGUGAAAUCCUGGAGCUCAACUCCAGAACUGCCUUUGAUACUGGGAAUCUCGAGUCCGGGAGAGGUGAGUGGAACUCCGAGUGUAGAGGUGAAAUUCGUAGAUAUUCGGAAGAACACCAGUGGCGAAGGCGGCUCACUGGUCCGGUACUGACGCUGAGGUGCGAAAGCGUGGGGAGCAACAGG
rnacentral:rRNA from 1 species